rnacentral:rRNA from 1 species
AGUGAACGCUGGCGGCAGGCCUAAUACAUGCAAGUCGAACGGCAGCACAGCAGAGCUUGCUCUGUGGGUGGCGAGUGGCGGACGGGUGAGGAAUACGUGGGAAUCUGCCCAGUCGUGGGGGAUAACGUAGGGAAACUUACGCUAAUACCGCAUGCGCCCUUCGGGGAAAGCCGGGGACCUUCGGGCCUGGCGCGAUUGGAUGAGCCCACGUCGGAUUAGCUAGUUGGCGGGGUAAGGGCCCACCAAGGCGACGAUCCGUAGCUGGUCUGAGAGGAUGAUCAGCCACACUGGAACUGAGACACGGUCCAGACUCCUACGGGAGCAGCAGUAGGGAAUAUUGGACAAUGGGCGCAAGCCUGAUCCAGCCAUGCCGCGUGAGUGAAGAAGGCCCUCGGGUUGUAAAGCUCUUUUGUCCGGAAAGAAAGCGCCGGGUUAAUACCCUGGUGUCCUGACGGUACCGGAAGAAUAAGCACCGGCUAACUUCGUGCCAGCAGCCGCGGUAA